CUUGCACUUCGUGCUUUCGAACUGCUAGGUUGGCAGGAGCAGGGACCGAGCAACGGCAGCUCACCCUGUCGUGGGGAUUCGAACCACCGACCUUCUGAUUGGCAAGUCCUAGGCUCUGUGGUUUAACCCAUAGUGCCAUCCACGUCCCUUCAUGGUGAGUACUGGCACCUUUUUUUCUUUAAAAAAAGCACUGGUUUUAACUCUGGAAAGCGGCAUACAAAUAUAAUGAUGUAUGUAUCCCAGUACGCAGCAGCUACUCAUCUGGAAGGAGGUCACAUAGGAAAAUAGGUGUGUCCCUUAUUUUCCAGGGACAGUCACGGAUUUACAGAAGAAGUCCCAGUUUCUGAUUUGAUCCUGGAAUGUCCCACUUUUCCUUAGGACGUCCCUAUUUUCAUCAGAGAAAUGUUGGAGGCUAUGGAGUUAUGUGACCCCAGAGCUAAG